CGCGUAGGCGGCCUUCUAAGUCAGACGUGAAAUCCCCCCGGCUUAACCUGGGAACUGCGUCUGAUACUGGAAGGCUUGAAUGCGGGAGAGGGAUGUAGAAUUCCAGGUGUAGCGGUGAAAUGCGUAGAUAUCUGGAGGAAUACCGGUGGCGAAGGCGGCAUCCUGGACCGACAUUGACGCUGAGGCGCGAAAGCUAGGUAGCAAACG
rnacentral:rRNA from 1 species